GCAUAUCAAUAAGCGGAGGAAAAGAAACCCACAGGGGAUUGCCCUAGUAACGGCGAAGUGAAGCGGCAACAGCUCAAAUUUGAAAUCUGGCUUCGGCCCGAGUUGUAAUUUGCAGAGGAUGUUUCUGGCGCGGUGCCUUCCGAGUUCUCUGGAACGGGACGCCACAGAGGGUGAGAGCCCCGUAUGGUUGGACACCAAGCCUGUGUGAAACUCCUUCGACGAGUCGAGUAGUUUGGGAAUGCUGCUCAAAAUGGGAGGUAAAUCUCUUCUAAAGCUAAAUACCGGCCAGAGACCGAUAGCGCACAAGUAGAGUGAUCGAAAGAUGAAAAGCACCUUGAAAAGGGGGUUAAACAGUACGUGAAAUUGUUGAAAGGGAAGCGCUUGUGACCAGACUUGCGCCGGGCGGCUCAUCCGGGGUUCUCCCCGGUGCACUCCGCCCGGCUCAGGCCAGCAUCGGUUUUCGUUGGGGGAUAAGAACGGCAGGAACGUGGCCCUCCUUCGGGUGGGUGUUAUAGCCUGCCGUACGAUACCCUGACGGGGACCGAGGUUCGCGCUCCGCAAGGAUGCUGGCGUAAUGGUCAUCAGCGACCCGUCUUGAAACACGGACCAAGGAGUCGUCCAUUAGAGCGAGCGUUUGGGUGUCAAACCCGCACGCGUAAUGAAAGUGAAAUUAGGUGAGAGCUUCGGCGCAUCAUCGACCGAUCCUGAUGUUCUCGGAUGGAUUUGAGUAAGAGUUUUAACGGACGGACCCGAAAGACAGUGAACUAUGCUUGUAUAGGGUGAAGCCAGAGGAAACUCUGGUGGAGGCUCGCAGCGGUUCUGACGUGCAAAUCGAUCGUCAAAUAUGAGCAUGGGGGCGAAAGACUAAUCGAACUGUCUAGUAGCUGGUUACC
rnacentral:rRNA from 1 species